UACGAAGGGGCUAGCGUUGCUCGGAAUCACUGGGCGUAAAGCGCACGUAGGCGGACUCUUAAGUCGGGGGUGAAAGCCCAAGGGCUCAACCCUGGGAAUUGCCCUUCGAUACUGGGAGUCUUAGAGUUAUGGCAGAGGUUGGUGGAACUGCGAGUGUAGAGGUGAAAUGCGUAGAUAAUCUGGAGGAACACCGGUGGCGAAGGCGACUACCCUGGCCUGUUCUUGACGCUGAGGCGCGAAAGCUAGGGGAGCAAACGGG
rnacentral:rRNA from 1 species